AAUGAAUUGCCUGACAAAAAGGGUUACCUUGAUAGGGUAAAUUAUAUGAUUAUAUCAUAUUCAUUA
rnacentral:tRNA from 1 species